rnacentral:rRNA from 1 species
CCUACGGGAGGCAGCAGUAGGGAAUAUUGGUCAAUGGGCGGAAGCCUGAACCAGCCAUGCCGCGUGCAGGAAGAAGGCCCUCUGGGUUGUAAACUGCUUUUGACAGGGAACAAGUCGGCCAUGCGUGGCUAAGUGAGUGUACCUGUAGAAUAAGCCACGGCUAACUACGUGCCAGCAGCCGCGGUAAUACGUAGGUGGCAAGCGUUGUCCGGAUUUAUUGGGUUUAAAGGGUGCGUAGGCGGCCAUGUAAGUCAGUUGUGAAAUACCCCGGCUCAACCGGGGGGGUUGCGAUUGAUACUGCGUGGCUUGAGUGGCAGCGAGGUUGGCGGAAUUGACGGUGUAGCGGUGAAAUGCAUAGAUAUCGUCAAGAACACCGAUAGCGAAGGCAGCCAACUAGGGGCCAACUGACGCUGAGGCACGAAAGUGCGGGGAUCAAACAGGAUUAGAUACCCUGGUAGUCCGCACAGUAAACGAUGAUCACUCGGUGUUGGCGAUAUACAGCCAGCGCCCAAGGGAAACCGAUAAGUGAUCCACCUGGGGAGUACGCCGGCAACGGUGAAACUUAAANGAAUUGACGGCUGAGACGNGCGAGACGACGACGAGGGAGGAGG